rnacentral:rRNA from 1 species
UACGGAGGGUGCAAGCAUUAAUCGGAUUUAUUGGGCGUAAAGGGCGCGUAGGCGGCGAUGAAAGUCAGAUGUGAAAUCCCGAAGCUCAACUUCGGAACUGCAUUUGAAACUCCAUCCCUAGAGGGUAGGCGGAGAAAACGGAAUUCCACAUGUAGCGGUGAAAUGCGUAGAUAUGUGGAGGAACACCUGUGGCGAAAGCGGUUUUCUAGCUUAUUUCCUGACGCUGAAGCGCGAAAGCAAGGGGAUCAAACAGG